UACGUAGGGUGCAAGCGUUAAUCGGAAUUACUGGGCGUAAAGCGUGCGCAGGCGGUUUUGUAAGUUUGUCGUGAAAGCCCCGGGCUCAACCUGGGAAUUGCGAUGAAGACUGCAAGGCUUGAAUCUGGCAGAGGGGGGUAGAAUUCCACGUGUAGCAGUGAAAUGCGUAGAGAUGUGGAGGAACACCGAUGGCGAAGGCAGCCCCCUGGGUCAAGAUUGACGCUCGAUGCACGAAAGCGUGGGGAGCAAACAGG
rnacentral:rRNA from 1 species